AUGUUUCUCACGCGUCUGAACAUCUGCGCGCGCUGUUAGAUAUUACUGACAGGAAUGAACUGAAGACAUUUUUUGAAAUCAACUGCUCACAGAUUUAUUUUAUCUUCUAUGAAAAUUUCAUUACACUGGAAAGUAACUUAAAGCAAAAAGGGAACAAAGCUCAACGGGAGGAGCUGGACUCCAUCCUCUUUAUUUUUGAAAAAAUUCUGCAACUUCUACCUGAGAAAAUCAACAGUCGAUGGCA